rnacentral:rRNA from 1 species
GAUGAACGCUGGCGGCGUGCCUAAUACAUGCAAGUCGAGCGAACAGACGAGGAGCUUGCUCCUCUGACGUUAGCGGCGGACGGGUGAGUAACACGUGGAUAACCUACCUAUAAGACUGGGAUAACUUCGGGAAACCGGAGCUAAUACCGGAUAAUAUAUUGAACCGCAUGGUUCAAUAGUGAAAGACGGUUUUGCUGUCACUUAUAGAUGGAUCCGCGCCGCAUUAGCUAGUUGGUAAGGUAACGGCUUACCAAGGCAACGAUGCGUAGCCGACCUGAGGGGGUGACCGGCCACACUGGAACUGGACCACGGUCCAGACUCCUACGGGAGGCAGCAGUAGGGAAUCUUCCGCAAUGGGCGAAAGCCUGACGGAGCAACGCCGCUUGAGUGAUGAAGUUCUUCGGAUCGUAAAACUCUGUUAUUAGGGAAGAACAAAUGUGUAAGUAACUAUGCACGUCUUGACGGUACCUAAUCAGAAAGCCACGGCUAACUACGUG